GACGAACGCUGGCGGCGUGCCUGAUACAUGCAAGUCGAACGCUUUUUCUUUCACCGGAGCUUGCUCCACCGAAAGAAAAAGAGUGGCGAACGGGUGAGUAACACGUGGGUAACCUGCCCUUCAGAAGGGGAUAACACUUGGAAACAGGUGCUAAUACCGUAUAACACUAUUUUCCGCAUGGAAGAAAGUUGAAAGGCGCUUUUGCGUCACUGAUGGAUGGACCGGGGGUGCAUUAGCUAGUUGGUGAGGUAACGGCUCACCAAGGCAACGAUGCAUAGCCGACCUGAGAGGGUGAUCGGCCACACUGGGACUGAGACACGGCCCAGACUCCUACGGGAGGUAGCAGUAGGGAAUCUUCGGCAAUGGACGAAAGUCUGACCGAGCAACGCCGCGUGAGUGAAGAAGGUUUUCGGAUCGUAAAACUCUGUUGUUAGAGAGGAACAAGGAAGAGAGUAAAACGUUCAUCCCUUGACGGUAUCUAACCAGAAAGCCACGGCUAACUACGUGCCAGCCGCCGCGGUAA
rnacentral:rRNA from 1 species